GUGAGGAAUUUUCCGCAAUGGGCGAAAGCCUGACGGAGCAAUGCCGCGUGAAGGAUGAAGGCCUAUGGGUUGUAAACUUCUUUUCUCAGAAAAGAAUUAUGACGGUAUCUGAGGAAUAAGCAUCGGCUAACUCUGUGCCAGCAGCCGCGGUAAGACAGAGGAUGCAAGCGUUAUCCGGAAUGAUUGGGCGUAGAGCGUCUGUAGGUUGUUUAAAAAGUAUUCUGUCAAAGAUUAGGGCUUAACCCUAGAUAGGCAGAAUAAACUUUUAAGCUAGAGUUUGGUAGAGGCAGAGGGAAUUCCCGGUGGAGCGGUGAAAUGCGUAGAUAUCGGGAGGAACACCAAAGGCGAAGGCACUCUGCUGGGCCAAUACUAACACUGAGAGACGAAAGCGAGGGGAGCAAAUGGGAUUAGAUACCCUGGUAGUCC
rnacentral:rRNA from 1 species